GCGUGCUAUACAUGCAAGUCGAACGAACUCUGGUAUUGAUUGGUGCUUGCAUCAUGAUUUACAUUUGAGUGAGUGGCGAACUGGUGAGUAACACGUGGGAAACCUGCCCAGAAGCGGGGGAUAACACCUGGAAACAGAUGCUAAUACCGCAUAACAACUUGGACCGCAUGGUCCGAGCUUGAAAGAUGGCUUCGGCUAUCACUUUUGGAUGGUCCCGCGGCGUAUUAGCUAGAUGGUGGGGUAACGGCUCACCAUGGCAAUGAUACGUAGCCGACCUGAGAGGGUAAUCGGCCACAUUGGGACUGAGACACGGCCCAAACUCCUACGGGAGGCAGCAGUAGGGAAUCUUCCACAAUGGACGAAAGUCUGAUGGAGCAACGCCGCGUGAGUGAAGAAGGGUUUCGGCUCGUAAAACUCUGUUGUUAAAGAAGAACAUAUCUGAGAGUAACUGUUCAGGUAUUGACGGUAUUUAACCAGAAAGCCACGGCUAACUACGUGCCAGCAGCCGCGGUAAUACGUAGGUGGCAAGCGUUGUCCGGAUUUAUUGGGCGUAAAGCGAGCGCAGGCGGUUUUUUAAGUCUGAUGUGAAAGCCUUCGGCUCAACCGAAGAAGUGCAUCGGAAACUGGGAAACUUGAGUGCAGAAGAGGACAGUGGAACUCCAUGUGUAGCGGUGAAAUGCGUAGAUAUAUGGAAGAACACCAGUGGCGAAGGCGGCUGUCUGGUCUGUAACUGACGCUGAGGCUCGAAAGUAUGGGUAGCAAACAGGAUUAGAUACCCUGGUAGUCCAUACCGUAAACGAUGAAUGCUAAGUGUUGGAGGGUUUCCGCCCUUCAGUGCUGCAGCUAACGCAUUAAGCAUUCCGCCUGGGGAGUACGGCCGCAAGGCUGAAACUCAAAGGAAUUGACGGGGGCCCGCACAAGCGGUGGAGCAUGUGGUUUAAUUCGAAGCUACGCGAAGAACCUUACCAGGUCUUGACAUACUAUGCAAAUCUAAGAGAUUAGACGUUCCCUUCGGGGACAUGGAUACAGGUGGUGCAUGGUUGUCGUCAGCUCGUGUCGUGAGAUGUUGGGUUAAGUCCCGCAACGAGCGCAACCCUUAUUAUCAGUUGCCAGCAUUAAGUUGGGCACUCUGGUGAGACUGCCGGUGACAAACCGGAGGAAGGUGGGGAUGACGUCAAAUCAUCAUGCCCCUUAUGACCUGGGCUACACACGUGCUACAAUGGAUGGUACAACGAGUUGCGAACUCGCGAGAGUAAGCUAAUCUCUUAAAGCCAUUCUCAGUUCGGAUUGUAGGCUGCAACUCGCCUACAUGAAGUCGGAAUCGCUAGUAAUCGCGGAUCAGCAUGCCGCGGUGAAUACGUUCCCGGGCCUUGUACACACCGCCCGUCACACCAUGAGAGUUUGUAACACCCAAAGUCGGUGGGGUAACCUUUUAGGAACCAGCCCGCCUAAGGUGG
rnacentral:rRNA from 1 species